UGACGUGAAUUAAAGAAGGCGAAGAAUGAGGCAACAAUAAGAAACAACAAAAAACAUUACGAAAGGCGCAAGCCACGGCCCAGCGAACAGCGACGCUGGGCACAUGGGCGGCGAGCGAGAAGCCGGCGGCUAGCAGUUGUUGCGAGGAGAGCAUCUAAGGAGAGUUGCCGUCGGCGCGGGCGGACUCGUGAAAGCGCAAGGCACGUCAGCCGCAGGUGUGCGCGCCUCCAGCGACAAGCAGACCCCGGCCCCUGAGCCGCCGCGCGCGCGCGCUCGCGCCCCACGACGCUGUGCUGCUGCCUUCGUUGCCCAUCGAGGCGCGUCUCCCCAUGCGCGCAGUUAGGCCUAGCUAGAAGAACGCCGCCGCACGAGACCACGACGACACACGGCCGGAUUACGAGAGGCGAGCACAGCGGCGCACCACGUCGUCCCCCAUGUCCGUGGCCAACACCGAGAGCUCGAUGACUCUGAGCCAGAGCAUGGAUUCCGUCAACACGGUCGCCGAAGAAGAGGUGCGAACUCUCUUCGUGAGUGGCCUUCCCAUGGAUGCAAAGCCCAGGGAACUCUAUCUACUAUUCCGUGCCUAUAAGGGAUACGAGGGAUCUCUUCUGAAAGUAACACAAAAGAAUGGAAAGACAUCUUCGCCAGUAGGUUUCGUAACGUUUUCUUCAAGAGCUGGAGCAGAAGCUGCCAAGCAGGAGCUUCAGCAGGGCGUGCGGUUCGACCCCGACCUUCCACAGACCAUCCGGCUCGAGUUCGCCAAGAGCAACACAAAGGUUAGCAAACCGAAACAGCAGUCUCCUCCCGCCGCGGCCACGCACCCGACACUCCUGCACCCUAUCACGGGACAAGAAAUCAGCGCUGCCCUGCUGCCGGGGACCCACGACGGCUGGCCGCACCACCCUCUCUCCUACGCCGAAGUGCCCGUCACCACUACCCUGCACACUGCGGCUCUCAUGCAUCCAGCCCUCCAUGCGCAGCUGCCCCCUCCGCUGACGGUGCCGCACCCCCUGUCACACGCGGCGCUGGCUGGUAGCGCGGCCGCGAUUCACGCGACCAUGCCGCCCCCGCACUUGGUUGCCAGCCCGGCGCUUGCGUCACCCGUCGGCUCCACCUCGUCUUCGGCUGCCGCAGCAGCGGGAACGCCACCCUGCUCCACGCUGUUCGUGGCAAACUUGGGACAGUUCGUCUCCGAACAGGAGCUCAAGGACCUCUUCGGAAGGACGUCCGCCUUGCAACACAUGCUAUGAAUGCCUUGCAGGGCUGUGUACUGUUCUCCUCAGAUCGAGGUGGAGUCCGCAUUGAAUUCGCCAAAAACAAGAUGGGAGAGGUAUCCCGUGAAUGAUGAUCUGGAACAGUCGAGAAAACGCUUCAAGUUUCCUUAGGAUGAAUCUCGGUGUGUGCUCGAGGGGUGUACACAGCAUGCUGCAAUGCAAGCAACCAAAGGCUUGGAUGAUAUUUUCAGUACACUGCAUUAAUUGCGUUUCCCGCGGGAGACGCACAAAUAGUUUGUGAUGAAAAAAAAGAGUUAUUUAGGCAAGCGAUGAGUGUUUAGUGAAUGUCAUUGUUUUUUUUCCUAUCAUUUUUCUUUGUAUAACGCGACUAUCUAAUUGUCUUGCUAACCUUAAUGUGCUUCGGCGAAUCGCCACAUCGCUGCUUCUAUCCGUGUGAGACGAUGAUACUGUGUCGGUGUGAUAGAUGAGUCUAUUAUAGAUUAGUCUUUGUGCGCAGAGCGCUAGGUUGGCUGCCAUCAGAGAGCCCUGCUAUACUCUGAAAUAUUGUUUUUCAGAAUGUACGAGUGCGCAAUUUGUGUUUCUUUAUAGCGUUUCUUUUUUGUUGUUUUAAGAGAAGUCUGCAAGCUGUCUUUUAUGAUACAGUGCGUCCCGAAAUUUCGUGCUUACCUUUGUCGUGGUUGUGCCAUGCGUUGAAUCAUCCUUUGCUCGAAAAAAAAAAAGCUGCGGAGAACAGAUAUUUGUGAACUCUGCAGGAUACUCCUAAGUACGGAUAGCUAACGGAGCUAUCGCGAGUACAUGUUGACACCAAAGAGACAGCUUUCUGAACCGAAAUAAACAGAAAACAAGGAAAAUUGGGUUCACAAUGUUGUACUAGUCACAGUGUACAAAGAAAAAACUGUAACCACUAUUUAUAGCGAGGCGAUUUUUAUCCUGUGUGUCAUUAGGGUAUAUCCUAAAUUUACAGCCUAAUUUAUAUAAAUAGUAGUGUGAGUUUUUAUUGUGCUAGCGCCCGAACUCGGAUGCGGACUGUGUUUAAAAAUACUACUGUGGACAAGGAAAACGUAACUAUAGGUUUCAGUAACAUACCUUGCUUCAGAGAUGUAUUUAUGUGAGGCAGACACAUUCCCAGUGACCUCUGAAUCCAACUGACCUUGUGUAUUUUUUAAAACUCAUUACUAAUGCCUUUUCUCUAUCAAUAAUCAUUUGAUUUUCAUUACUUUUGGAUCGUGCCGAUAAGUUUUGUUUUGUUAUGUAAUUUACAAGUGCUAUUUUUUUUCAUUCAUAACCAAUGAAUAUGCUACCAGUAGUUCUGACCAUUUCUUUGCAUGAUUAUUCUGUACUGUAUUUUUUGUUACUAAAGCUAUUUAAUUACAUAAC
rnacentral:misc_RNA from 1 species